ACAGCCAAUCACAGUCCGGAGUUAGAAGAUGACAGAGAGAUUGAGGAAGAGCCUUUAUCUGAGGACCUGGAAUGAGAACGAACUUGUGACACCUCAGUGUGAAGGGACAUAUCACUGACCUUCAUAACCACUCCACAACCAUGAAUAGUUGACAAAUUUUUACUGUGACUAUUUAUUAAGCAUGGAUAAAGGAGACAGCCCUAAAGGAACUUACUAAGCCAGCCCUUUGGGAUUCAGAACCAACAGGCAAAUUGCUUGUUUUCUUCUCUUUCUGUCCUUAUUUUGUUUGUUUGUUUGUUUGAUUUUACUUUCUUUACUUAUUUUCUUUUUUUCAUUUUUUUAAAGGCAAAAAAAAAAACUGAUUUUCUUGGGAAAAGAGAGAAAGAACUGUUCUUUCUAUAAUGGCUUUGCCCAUUUAAAAAAUGUGGCUCUCAAGGGUUCAUGAAAUGACUGAGUAUGAGGAUCCAUGUCCUAUAGAAAGCAACUGCGCCUCAUAUACUGCCAAAAAUAGUGUUAGUUUCAUUAAUGUGAAUUUUCCAGCAUUCAGUAGUCGUAAUGUUAGAAACAAUUGCUGGUCAAGUUCAACUUGUUGCUAUUGUUUUUAAUUUGCACAGGAGUAGUAUCAGAAAUUAGUGUCACUGCUUGUAUCUAGCUGACUUUUAAACAACAGAACAUUAGUUUUUUAUGUUGGUGCCACCAACUGUAAAUGACAUAAGUUAGUUAUUACAAAACACAGUAAUUAGACUGUUGCAACCAUCUAAAACCUUAGGCUUCCAGUCUGUGCUGUUAGUGUAAAGAUGUAAAGUGCAAUCCUAAGCUAACAUUAUCUGUGCAAGCACCAUAGAAACAUUUGCAUAUCUGCAUAGAUCUUACAACUGUACUCUUUACCUCCUUGUGAUAAAGCUUUGUCUACCUGCAAACACAGUCAAAGGCUACAGCUGCAAACCAAAGCCAACUCUAACCAUGGCCAAGAGCUCAAGGACAGAAGCAGCCACAUGCUUUGGUCAGCCUUCUGUAACUUCAAUUAGUACAAAGGAACCUUUUCCAUGAACUACCUGCUGUUUUCUGAUGACCUCUGGGAUCUUUUCAUUUAGCCCUAAACAAAGAAACGAAUAUGACAAAACAAAAACAAAAAAACAACCCACAACUAAGAGUUCAUUCAGUCACAGAGUAAUCUUCUGAGGCCAAAAGUCCAUCUAAAUGCAAUGAAGAUUUGCUUUCAUUAAAGACAGAGGUGAGGACAAAAUCUGCAGUGGAAGUUAUGACACUCUAGAAAGCAACAAAUGUGGAUCACUGACCAAAACAAUUAUGUACUUGAUGCAAAUGCAGAUUGCGUAUUGUUAUAUAUAUAGUACAUUGCGUUUUUGUUUUCCCCAUCUUUUUGGUGGUGAGUUCAUGUUGUUAGAAGUACAUGUCUUGUAUGGUCUUAAUCUCUGUUGUGUACUAUUUUUUUAUAGUCUUAAGUUAUAAUAAAAAAAAACAAAAAACAAAAAACAAAAAGUAGGAACCAAACAUAAAAGGUCUAGUAAAGCCAAAAAUUAAUUUCCUAUUGAUUUUAAAGUGAUCUAGCUGAGUUUUUACACUGAAAGCAAAGAUUAUAGCAAGUGUAGCCCAUGGUAUUUAUUUUCAGUCAAACCAAAGUUACAUAUAAUUCUGCCUCUGCUUAUACGGGAUAUGAACACUAACACACUCCCUUCAAAGACUUGUGCAGGCCAAAUUGUUGGAAUGCUGAUUUUCUUGACAACUCUAAACCCCAAAACUAUGAUAAGACGUUAUGGUGUAGUUGAAGAUAGCAUAGUCAGAUGUUUGCUUAAAACCUAGAGACUUUAUGUGUUGCUUUUCAUGUGCUGUGCCAAGUCUUGAUAAUACUUUUUCCCCCAACCAAGGGACCUCAUAACCUGAUUAUGGUUAUUGCUUUACAAACAGUUUUGACAGAAGGUGGCUGCUAGAGCUUAACAAAUGUCCCGGUUCCAUGUGAUGGAGCCGGUUCUUGCAAACUAAGCUCAAUGUUUAUCCUUUGCUGAAGUCAGCAAAUAGAGUUAGAGAGAUACCCAGUCAUCUAUCACACCAAAUAAAAGGACAUAACGGCUUUCAAAGGGUUUUCCCACUUACCCAAAAGGCUUUCUGAAAGCUUCUACCUCUGC
rnacentral:lncRNA from 1 species